rnacentral:rRNA from 1 species
UUCCUACGGGGGGCAGCAGUGGGGGAUAUUGCACAAUGGGGGAAACCCUGAUGCAGCGACGCCGCGUGUGGGAAGACGGUCCUCUGGAUUGUAAACCACUGUCCCCAGGGACGAAGAUGACGGUACCUGGGGAGGAAGCUCCGGCUAACUACGUGCCAGCAGCCGCGGUAAUACGUAGGGGGCUAGCGUUAUCCGGAAUUACUGGGCGUAAAGGGUGCGUAGGUGGUUUCUUAAGUCAGAGGUGAAAGGCUACGGCUCAACCGUAGUAAGCCUUUGAAACUGGGGAACUUGAGUGCAGGAGAGGG